AACGAACGCUGGCGGCAUGCCUAACACAUGCAAGUCGAACGAGACCUUCGGGUCUAGUGGCGCACGGGUGCGUAACGCGUGGGAACCUGCCCUUAGGUUCGGAAUAACUCCCCGAAAGGGGUGCUAAUACCGGAUAAUGUCUUCGGACCAAAGAUUUAUCGCCUUUGGAUGGGCCCGCGUUGGAUUAGCUAGUUGGUAGGGUAAAAGCCUACCAAGGCGACGAUCCAUAGCUGGUCUGAGAGGAUGAUCAGCCACACUGGGACUGAGACACGGCCCAGACUCCUACGGGAGGCAGCAGUGGGGAAUAUUGGACAAUGGGCGAAAGCCUGAUCCAGCAAUGCCGCGUGAGUGAUGAAGGCCUUAGGGUUGUAAAGCUCUUUAACCCGGGAUGAUAAUGACAGUACCGGGAGAAUAAGCUCCGGCUAACUCCGUG
rnacentral:rRNA from 1 species